UUCGUUAACGAACGAGACCUUAACCUACUAACUAGCCCGGCUAGCUUUGGCUGGUCGCCGGCUUCUUAGAGGGACUAUCGACGUAAGUCGAUGGAAGUUUGAGGCAAUAACAGGUCUGUGAUGCCCUUAGAUGUUCUGGGCCGCACGCGCGCUACACUGACAGAGCCAACGAGUUUACAACCUUGACUGAGAGGUCUGGGUAAUCUUCGCAACAUGCAUCGUGCUGGGGAUAGAUUAUUGUAAUUAUUAAUCUUCAACGAGGAAUUCCUAGUAAACGCAAGUCAUCAACUUGCAUUGAUUACGUCCCUGCCCUUUGUACACACCGCCCGUCGCUAAUACCGAUUGAAUGGAUG
rnacentral:rRNA from 1 species